ACGCAGCGGCGGCACAACGAGAGGGGGCGCUGCUGCGGCGGGGAUGGCGUGGCGCGGCGCGGCGCGGCGCAACCCGGACGCAGCGGCAACAACACACGCUCUCCGUGGGUAGCUGUCUUCUCCGGUGGCCACCUUCUCCCCGUUGCAGGCGUGGUGGGGGACGCCACCGCAUCACACCCCCUCACCAUGGCGCCGUUGAAGCUCUACUGCUGUCGCAAGGAGAAGCAGGAGGACACGGAUGCAGCAACAGCUUCAAGUGUUCUUUUUUUCACUGGUUUCUUGAUUUGUUCUUUCUCCCCGUUGAUCUGUCACCUGGAUUUCCUCCUCCCUUGGUUCUCAAAGAAGAAGAAUUAAAUUAAAAUUAGUGGAGACUAUUAGAGAUGGAUGGAUCGAUCUUUAAUUUUUCUCUGUGCAGUGUGCACAGCACAGGGAAGGAGGGGUCACUGUUGGUCCUUGUCUUCAUUUUUAUGUCCUUAAUUACCCCUCUUGAUGCAUGUAUUACUACUAGUUACUAGUACUAGCUUAGUAGUAGGUGCCUCCUCUUGAGUUGGUAGUUUUCUCCGGCAAUAAUAAGGAUGAAUAUAUAUAUAUGCCAUCAUAAUCUGUUGUCCUGUGAGGAGAAGGAACAUUUACAGUGGUCAUUCCUGAAUUUGUGCUCUGAAGUAGCCCCACAGGAUUUUGAUAUGUAGAUAAAUGUGAUCAGAUGAAUCCGAGUUAUUGCAGUUCUCAUUUUUGGUCGA